CACGCUGAGAAUGCAAUUGCUUAAAAUCUCAACACAGUCCAAAAUGGGAUGUCUAUGUUUUCUUGGAUAUGACCCGAAACCAGUCUCCGAUCAUGCUGAGAACUGCAGCGAAAUAGGCCAGGCCCACCAGGAUCCAGAACCACACCACAGUCUCCAAAGCCGAUGGUGGUGAGGGUGAUGACCACAAAGUAGAUGGACUCCAGAGUGCUCCAGCCCUCGAUGUGCUUGAAGAUGACAGCUGGCAGCGCCACAAAGAUGAGACAGCCAAACAGGAUGAAGAGCAGCGUGGAGAUUACGCGGAUCUUUGUCUGGCUGACUUUCCAUUUCUGGAGAAAACGUAAUAGGACUCAGUGAGUGGAACACUGACUCAUGAUGAGGGACGGAUGACACAAAUGAGAUUUCAUUUUCAGCAAAUUUGACAAAACCUGCUUAUCCAACCAGAGACAGCAUGAUGGACUGGAGGGAGGUGGCGUAACGGCUUGAGAAACAGAGUUAGUGAGCUACUAUUUUUCCCCCAUAAAUAAAUCUCAGGUCCCACAAGAAGUGUGCUGUAGUAUCUGGUUAGUAAAAAUUGCAUGUACGCCAUCAUGGAUUUAUUGCAGUUAGUUCCCUUUCCUUGCAGCACACCAGAGAAAACUCUUUCCACAUGAUGUGGCUGCUAUCAGCAGGUUGCUGGAACAUCUUGCCCCUUUUUUCCCUCUGUCAGUUAUGUAAGCCCCAAAGCUACACUGAGUGCAGGCGCAGGACAGGAAGUAGUGAACAGCAGAGCUUUGCUGUCAUCCUUGCCUCAAUAUGAAUGAGCUCUACAGGCAAUGGUACAUCUUAUUUGGUUUCUACAAUACCUUGGUGUGCAUUGUUUGCAGCAACCCCCACGAGAGGGAAGCCAAAGAGCCCGAGGAGGAAUCAAAAACAUUUAUAUGUGGUUAACUCUGGAAAUAAGUUACCUUAGGCUUAGUGCUGGUACUGUACUGUGUACCUAAAGAAGAGUCCAGUGAGUGUUUCUCAGAGGAACUUGUUUGUAUGCAUCCACACGUGCAAGCAGUGUGCAGAGACUCUGACUGUAAAGCUCCCACUGGCUCAUUAUGAAGAUGUGAGACUGCACACAAGUCUUGGACCUGCUGCUCUCUUCACGUAUAAUGAUUCACCAUUUGGGAAUUCUUCCUGCCUUCAACAUAAAACUUAAUUGUCUAGGGGGGGGCCACAUUUUCAAAGAGCGAAAGGAACAGGGUUCGUACUACUACCUCGAUGGAUGACUGUCCAGCCCACUAACAUACUGGAUCUAUUUAUUUUAACAGGUCCUCCAGCUCAGAGGAGUUGACACAGGCGUGCACGGCCAAGAACUCCAGCUUCUCUGCAAGGAUGGCCAGUUUCUGGGAGCUCUCGUGCGGCUGCUCCAGCGCCCGGAACACCGUGGCGCCGAUGAUGAGAUACAGCAC